GAUUUGAAGUUCUUUGUCCGCGACUUACUAAAGAAAUACCUAAAACUCGAAUCUGGGAAGUAUUUCCAAAAUUUUAUCACAGAGGAUACUGCGUAGGGUAGAAAUUUACUUUUUAAUAUAAAUGUCAGGUUGUUUCACUCAACUUUCAGGUAAACUUUUGUCUUGAUUCUAAAUUUAAACGAUGUUUCGGGCUAUAUGCUGAAGAUUUUCCAGGAACCUCAAA